rnacentral:rRNA from 1 species
UACGGGGGGAGCAAGCGUUGUUCGGAUUUACUGGGCGUAAAGGGCGCGUAGGCGGUCAGCACAAGUCAGUUGUGAAAUCUCCGGCGUAACUCGGAAAGGUCAACUGAUACUGUGCGACUAGAGUGCAGAAGGGGCAACUGGAAUUCUCGGUGUAGCGGUGAAAUGCGUAGAUAUCGAGAGGAACACCUGCGGCGAAGGCGGGUUGCUGGGCUGACACUGACGCUGAUGCGCGAAAGCCAGGGGAGCGAACGGG